GAUGAACGCUGGCGGCGUGCCUAAUACAUGCAAGUCGAGCGAACGGACGAGAAGCUUGCUUCUCUGAUGUUAGCGGCGGACGGGUGAGUAACACGUGGAUAACCUACCUAUAAGACUGGGAUAACUUCGGGAAACCGUAGCUAAUACCGGAUAAUAUUUUGAACCGCAUGGUUCAAAAGUGAAAGACGGUCUUGCUGUCACUUAUAGAUGGAUCCGCGCUGCAUUAGCUAGUUGGUAAGGUAACGGCUUACCAAGGCAACGAUGCAUAGCCGACCUGACAGGGUGAUCGGCCACACUGGAACUGAGACACGGUCCAGACUCCUACGGGAGGCAGCAGUAGGGAAUCUUCCGCAAUGGGCGAAAGCCUGACGGAGCAACGACGCGUGAGUGAUGAAGGUCUUCGGAUCGUAAAACUCUGUUAUUAGGGAAGAACAUAUGUGUAAGUAACUGUGCACAUCUUGACGGUACCUAAUCAGAAAGCCACGGCUAACUACGUG
rnacentral:rRNA from 1 species